UACGGGGGGAGCAAGCGUUGUUCGGAUUUACUGGGCGUAAAGGGCUCGUAGGCGGUUUGUCACGUCGGGAGUGAAAACUCAGGGCUCAACCCUGAGCGUGCUUCCGAUACGGGCAGACUAGAGGUAUGCAGGGGAGAACGGAAUUCCUGGUGUAGCGGUGGAAUGCGCAGAUAUCAGGAGGAACACCAAUUGCGAAGGCAGCUCGCUGGGACGUAACUGACGCUGAGACGCGAAAGCGUGGGGAGCAAACAGG
rnacentral:rRNA from 1 species